AAUGAACGCUGGCGGCAUGCCUAACACAUGCAAGUCGAACGAAGGCUUCGGCCUUAGUGGCGCACGGGUGCGUAACGCGUGGGAAUCUGCCCCUUGGUUCGGAAUAACAGUUGGAAACGACUGCUAAUACCGGAUGACGACGUAAGUCCAAAGAUUUAUCGCCGAGGGAUGAGCCCGCGUAGGAUUAGGUAGUUGGUGUGGUAAAGGCGCACCAAGCCGACGAUCCUUAGCUGGUCUGAGAGGAUGAUCAGCCACACUGGGACUGAGACACGGCCCAGACUCCUACGGGAGGCAGCAGUGGGGAAUAUUGGACAAUGGGCGAAAGCCUGAUCCAGCAAUGCCGCGUGAGUGAUGAAGGCCUUAGGGUUGUAAAGCUCUUUUACCCGGGAUGAUAAUGACAGUACC
rnacentral:rRNA from 1 species